GACAGAGGUCCCGAGCGUUGUUCGGAUUCAUUGGGCGUAAAGGGUGUGUAGGAGGUUGGGUAAGUCAGGUGUGAAAUCUCACAGCUUAACUGUGAAACUGCGCUUGAUACUGCUCGGCUAGAGGAUCGGAGGGGGUAACGGAAUUUAUGGUGUAGCAGUGAAAUGCGUAGAUAUCAUAAGGAACACCGGUGGCGAAGGCGGUUACCUGGAAGAUUCCUGACUCUGAAACACGAAAGCCAGGGGAGCAAACGGG
rnacentral:rRNA from 1 species